GAUGAACGCUGGCGGCGUGCUUAACACAUGCAAGUCGAACGGAAAGGCCCAAGCUUGCUUGGGUACUCGAGUGGCGAACGGGUGAGUAACACGUGGGUGAUCUGCCCUGCACUUCGGGAUAAGCCUGGGAAACUGGGUCUAAUACCGGAUAGGACCAUGGUUUGGAUGCCAUUGUGGAAAGUUUUUUCGGUGUGGGAUGAGCUCGCGGCCUAUCUGCUUUUUGGUGUGGUGUUGGCGUACCAAGGCGUCGACGGGUAGCCGGCCUGUGAGGGUGUACGGCCACAUGGGGACAGAGAUACGGGCCAGACUCCUACGGGGGGGAGCAGUGGGGAAUAUUGCACAAUGGGCGCGAGCCUGAUGCAGAGAAGCGGCGUGGGGGAGGACGGCGUUCGGGGUGUAAACUCCUUUCGCGAGGGACGAAGCGUUUUUGUGACGGUACCUGGAGAAGAAGCACCGGCUAACUACGUG
rnacentral:rRNA from 1 species